rnacentral:rRNA from 1 species
AGGAAUAUUGGGCAAUGGAGGCAACUCUGACCCAGCCAUGCCGCGUGCAGGAAGACGGUCCUAUGGAUUGUAAACUGCUUUUAUUUGUGAAUAAACUCCGGUACGUGUACCGGCCUGAAUGUAGCAAAUGAAUAAGCACCGGCUAACUCCGUGCCAGCAGCCGCGGUAAUACGGAGGGUGCAAGCGUUAUCCGGAAUCAUUGGGUUUAAAGGGUCCGCAGGCGGAUGUAUAAGUCAGUGGUGAAAUCCUACAGCUUAACUGUAGAACUGCCAUUGDACUGUNACAUCUUGAAUUCGGUCGAAGUGGGCGGAAUAUGUCAUGUAGCGGUGAAAUGCUUAGAUAUGACAUAGAACACCGAUAGCGAAGGCAGCUCACUAGGCCUGGAUUGACGCUCAGGGACGAAAGCGUGGGUAGCGAACAGGAUUAGAUACCCUGGUAGUCCACGCCGUAAACUACUCAAUACUCGUUUUCGGCGAUAUACAGUCGGAGACUAAGCGAAAGUGAUAAGUAUUGCACCUGGGGAGUACGAUCGCAAGGUUGADNCUCAAAUGAAUU